rnacentral:rRNA from 1 species
CCUACGGGAGACAGCAGUGAGGAAUAUUGGUCAAUGGGCGCUAGCCUGAACCAGCCAAGUAGCGUGAAGGAUGACUGCCCUAUGGGUUGUAAACUUCUUUUAUAUGGGAAUAAAGUGCAGUAUGUAUACUGCUUUGCAUGUACCUUAUGAAUAAGGAUCGGCUAACUCCGUGCCAGCAGCCGCGGUAAUACGGAGGAUCCGAGCGUUAUCCGGAUUUAUUGGGUUUAAAGGGAGCGUAGGCGGGUUGUUAAGUCAGUUGGGAAAGUUUGCGGCUCAACCGUAAAAUUGCAGUUGAUACUGGCAUCCUUGAUUACAGUAGACGUAGGCGGACUUCGUGGUGUAGCGGUGAAAUGCUUAGAUCUCACGAAGAACUCCGAUUGCGACGGCAGCCUGCUGGACUGUAACUGACGCUGAUGCUCGAACGUGUGGGUAUCACACAGGAUUAGAUACCCCAGUAGUC